UCCAAGAUGGCGGAAAUUAUUUUUUCUUAAGUCGAUAUGGGUGUCAUAUCCGAGGUUCCUCGGGAUUCCGAUUACGAAAAUGACGUCUAUUUUGAAAUCCAAGAUGGCGGACAUUAAUUUUUCUUAAAAAUCGAUAUGAGUGUCAUCUCCGAGGUUCCUCGGGAUUCCGAUUACGAAAAUGACGUUCAUUUUGAAAUUCAAGAUGGCGGACAUUAAUUUUUCUUAAAAAUCGAUAAGGGUGUCAUCUCCGAGGUUCCUCGGGGAUCCGAUUACGAAAAUGACGUUCAUUUUGAAAUCCAAGAUGGCGGAAAUUAUUUUUUUCUUAAGUCGAUAUGGGUGUCAUAUCCGAGGUUCCUCGGGAUUCCGAUUAUGAAAAUGACGUCUAUUUUGAAAUCCAGAUGGCGGACAUUAAUUUUUCUUAAAAAUCGACAUGAGUGUCAUCUCCGAGGUUCCUCGGGGUUCCGAUUACGAAAAUGACGUUCAUUUUGAAAUCCAAGAUGGCGGACAUUAAUUUUUCUUAAAAAUCGAUAUGGGUGUCAUCUCCGAGGUUCCUCGGGGAUCCGAUUACGAAAAUGACGUUCAUUUUGAAAUCCAAGAUGGCGGAAAUUAUUUUUUCUUAAAAGUCGAUAUGGGUGUCAUAUUCGAGGUUCCUCGGGAUUCCGAUUACGAAAAUGACGUCUAUUUUGAAAUCCAAGAUGGCGGACAUUAAUUUUUCUUAAAAAUCGAUAUGGGUGUCAUCUCCGAGGUUCUUCGAGGUUCCGAUUACGAAAAUGACGUCCAUUUUGCAAUCCAAGAUGGCGAACAUUAUUUUUUCUUAAAAAUCGAUAUGGGUGCCAUCUCCGAGGUUCCUCGGGGAUCCGAUUACGAAAAUGACGUUCAUUUUGAAAUCCAAGAUGGCGGAAAUUAUUUUUUCUUAAGUCGAUAUGGGUGUCAUAUCCGAGGUUCCUCGGGAUUCCGAUUACGAAAAUGACGUCUAUUUUGAAAUCCAAGAUGGCGGACAUUAAUUUUUCUUAAAAAUCGAUAUGAGUGUCAUCUCCGAGGUUCCUCGGGAUUCCGAUUACGAAAAUGACGUUCAUUUUGAAAUCCAAGAUGGCGGACAUUAAUUUUUCUUAAAAAUCGAUAAGGGUGUCAUCUCCGAGGUUCCUCGGGGAUCCGAUUACGAAAAUGACGUUCAUUUUGAAAUCCAAGAUGGCGGAAAUUAUUUUUUCUUAAGUCGAUAUGGGUGUCAUAUCCGAGGUUCCUCGGGAUUCCGAUUACGAAAAUGACGUCUAUUUUGAAAUCCAAGAUGGCGGACAUUAAUUUUUCUUAAAAAUCGACAUGAGUGUCAUCUCCGAGGUUCCUCGGGGUUCCGAUUACGAAAAUGACGUUCAUUUUGAAAUCCAAGAUGGCGGACAUUAAUUUUUCUUAAAAAUCGAUAUGGGUGUCAUCUCCGAGGUUCCUCGGGGUUCCAAUUACAAAAAUGACGUCAAUUUUGGCGGUUCUUGUUGGUGCAGAUUUCAAAAAUAGAGACCAUUUUAGAAUUAAAGGUGGUUGAUAUGACGGCUACACACAUCGACACCCAUUUCAAAAAGUAGCGUCCGCCAUAUUUAUUUUCAAAAUAGAUGUCAUUUUUGAAAUCCACACCCCUAAAAACCCAGAAAACAACACCCAUGACGACUUUUUCAAAAAAGUGACGUCCGCCAUCUUUAUUUCCAAAAUGGACGUCAUUUGUAAAAUUAGUACACAUACAUCAUACAACAUGAAAACUAAAAACAUUUCCAUCCUCUUUUGGGCAGUUGUGUAAGUCUGUGAUAACCCUAGGUAGGUACGGAGACCUUGAGCGGUGUCGGCAUUUACGCAAACAUCAAAGGCGUCGGCCCACUGUUACUUUUUACACUGUGCUUUUAGUGUGUAAACGAAAACGUCACAUGAUAUAUCAAAAGAAAAGUUAUUUUACAGUACAUAUGGGGCUACUUUAUAGCACUAGUGCGAGAAGUAGCAUAUUAUGUUACUGUGUCGAACAUUUAAAGGGCCAUAAGUACUGUAAAACGUUGUACGAUACAUGUGCGAAUAGGUAAUUCGCAACUCGUGUCGAUUUAAAACACUCCCUUCGGUCGUGUUUUAAUUUAUCGCCACUCGUUUCGAAUUUCCUAUUUUUCGCACUUGUAUCGUAAUGUACUAUUAUCUUAUACCUUUAAACGAGCAAUUCUUGUAAGUAUAUAUAUAAUAAUAUUUCUGUGAUCUCGGAAACGGCUCUAACGAUUUUGCUGAAAUUUGGUAUAUUAAUAAGCGGGUUAAGACGCGGACUGCUAAACGAGUGUUACGGGUUCGAAUCUCGCCCGGUGACUAACUUUUGUUUUUUUUAUAUGUUCAAGUUUAUAUAUAAUUUUUUAAUUUUUAUUGUUUUACACAAGUUUAAUUUAGUAAAAAAAAAUGACCUAUGUAAUAAGAGAAAUCGACAAUAGAUGGCGUUACUCUGUGACAAGUGCUGUAAGGUUAAAAUCGAUUGUAAAUAAUAAUAAUUGUCAGUUCACAUUUUACUUUUUAAGUUUAUGUA